UUUUUAUAAAAAAUAAUUYUAAGUAAAAUCUGCUCCAUGACAAAUUAAAUAGCCGCAGAAAAUUACACUGUGCUAAGGUAGCAUAAUCAUUAGUCUAAUAAUUAAAGACUAGAAUGAAAGAUUUAACAUUUUAAAAACUUUUUUGAAAUUUUUUAAUAAAAAUUAUACCAAACAUAAAAAUAUGUUUCUAAAAAAAAAAGACGACAAGACCCUAUCGAACUUCACACUAAAGUUAAGCUGGGGCAGCUAAUUAAUAAUAAUUUUAAUACCAAUAUUAAAAAAAAAGACCCAACAAUGUUGAAUUAUUGAAUAAUGUUACCGUAGGGAUAACAGCGUAAUUUCUUUCCAAAGCUCUUAUUUAAAAAGAAGAUUGCGACCUCGAUGUUGAAUUAAUUUACUAUAAUAACGCAAAUGUUUUACAAGUAAGUCUGUUCGACUUUUAAAUAAUUACA
rnacentral:rRNA from 1 species